AUUGAACGCUGGCGGCAGGCCUAACACAUGCAAGUCGAGCGAGCGGCGGACGGGUGCGUAAUGUAUGGGGACUGCCCGAUAGAGGGGGAUAACUACUGGAAACGGUGGCUACUACCGCAUACUAUCGUAUCACCCAUGUGGGUUUAGCUAGUAGGUGGGGUAAAGGCUCAACUAGGCGACGAUCUCUAGCUGGUCUGAGAGUGUGAUCAGCCACACUGGGACUGAGAGAAGGCCCAGACUCCUACGGAGGCAGCAGUGGGGAAUAGUGCGCAAUGGGCGAAAGCCUGAUGCAGCCAGGCCGCGUGUAUGAAGAAGGCCUUAGGGUUGUAAAGUACUGUCGGCGGGGAGGCGUUACCCGCAGAAGAAGCACCGGCUAACUCCGUGCCAGCAGCCGCGGUAAUUC
rnacentral:rRNA from 1 species